UACGUAGGGUCCGAGCGUUGUCCGGAAUUAUUGGGCGUAAAGAGCUCGUAGGCGGUUUGUCGCGUCUGCUGUGAAAUCCCAGGGCUUAACCCUGGGCCUGCAGUGGGUACGGGCAGACUAGAGUGCGGUAGGGGAGAUCGGAAUUCCUGGUGUAGCGGUGAAAUGCGCAGAUAUCAGGAGGAACACCGGUGGCGAAGGCGGAUCUCUGGGCCGUAACUGACGCUGAGGAGCGAAAGCAUGGGUAGCGAACAGG
rnacentral:rRNA from 1 species